rnacentral:rRNA from 2 species
UGCAGUCGAGCGGAAGUUGGAGAGCUUGCUCUUCAACUUUAGCGGCGGACGGGUGAGUAACACGUGGGCAACCUGCCCUGCAGAUCGGGAUAACUCCGGGAAACCGGUGCUAAUACCGAAUAGUUUUCGCCACCUCCUGGUGGCGUACGGAAAGACGGUUUCGGCUGUCACUGCAGGAUGGGCCCGCGGCGCAUUAGCUAGUUGGUGGGGUAACGGCCCACCAAGGCGACGAUGCGUAGCCGACCUGAGAGGGUGAUCGGCCACACUGGGACUGAGACACGGCCCAGACUCCUACGGGAGGCAGCAGUAGGGAAUCUUCCGCAAUGGACGAAAGUCUGACGGAGCAACGCCGCGUGAGUGACGAAGGUUUUCGGAUCGUAAAACUCUGUUGUGAGGGAAGAACAAGUACCAACUAACUACUGGUACCUUGACGGUACCUCACCAGAAAGCCACGGCUAACUACGUGCCAGCAGCCGCGGUAAUACGUAGGUGGCAAGCGUUGUCCGGAAUUAUUGGGCGUAAAGCGCGCGCAGGCGGUCCCUUAAGUCUGAUGUGAAAGCCCACGGCUCAACCGUGGAGGGUCAUUGGAAACUGGGGGACUUGAGUGCAGAAGAGGAAAGUGGAAUUCCACGUGUAGCGGUGAAAUGCGUAGAGAUGUGGAGGAACACCAGUGGCGAAGGCGA